rnacentral:rRNA from 1 species
CGCGGCCUAUCAGCUUGUUGGUGGGGUAAUGGCCUACCAAGGCGACGACGGGUAGCCGGCCUGAGAGGGCGACCGGCCACACUGGGACUGAGACACGGCCCAGACUCCUACGGGAGGCAGCAGUGGGGAAUAUUGCACAAUGGGCGAAAGCCUGAUGCAGCGACGCCGCGUGAGGGAUGACGGCCUUCGGGUUGUAAACCUCUUUCAGCAGGGACGAAGCGUAAGUGACGGUACCUGCAGAAGAAGCGCCGGCCGACUACGUGCCAGCAGCCGCGGUAAGACGUAGGGCGCGAGCGUUGUCCGGAUUUAUUGGGCGUAAAGAGCUCGUAGGCGGCUUGUCGCGUCGACUGUGAAUACCCGCAGCUCAACUGCGGGCCUGCAGUCGAUACGGGCAGGCUAGAGUUCGGUAGGGGAGACUGGAAUUCCUGGUGUAGCGGUGGAAUGCGCAGAUAUCAGGAGGAACACCGGUGGCGAAGGCGGGUCUCUGGGCCGAUACUGACGCUGAGGAGCGGAAGCGUGGGGAGCGAACAGGAUUAGAUACCCUGGUAGUCCACGCUGUAAACGUUGGGCGCUAGGUGUGGGGGACCUCUCCGGUUCUCUGUGCCGCAGCUAACGCAUUAAGCGCCCCGCCUGGGGAGUACGG